rnacentral:tRNA from 1 species
AUCUUGAUAGCUUAAAGUUAAAGCGUUACUUUGAAGCAGUAAAAAUGAAUGAAUCUCAAGAUG